CCGACCUGAGAGGGUGACCGGCCACAUUGGGACUGAGACACGGCCCAGACUCCUACGGGAGGCAGCAGUGGGGAAUAUUGCACAAUGGGCGAAAGCCUGAUGCAGCGACGCCGCGUGAAGGAUGAAGUAUUUCGGUAUGUAAACUUCUAUCAGCAGGGAAGAAAAUGACGGUACCUGACUAAGAAGCCCCGGCUAACUACGUGCCAGCAGCCGCGGUAAUACGUAGGGGGCAAGCGUUAUCCGGAUUUACUGGGUGUAAAGGGAGCGUAGACGGCUGUGCAAGUCUGAAGUGAAAGGCAUGGGCUCAACCUGUGGACUGCUUUGGAAACUGUGCAGCUAGAGUGUCGGAGAGGUAAGUGGAAUUCCUAGUGUAGCGGUGAAAUGCGUAGAUAUUAGGAGGAACACCAGUGGCGAAGGCGGCUUACUGGACGAUGACUGACGUUGAGGCUCGAAAGCGUGGGGAGCA
rnacentral:rRNA from 1 species